GGGGAUAUUUGGCUGUGGCCUCUCCCCUCCCAUUGAUUGUCAAGUUGGAUUUAGCUGAUCAGGUUGGCUGGGUGGGAACCUCCUUUUUUUCCC
rnacentral:sRNA from 1 species